GGGGGACCAGCUGGGUCCCAGUCUGGAGCUUCAGGGCAGAGAUGAGCUGUAGGGAGACCAGCUGGGUCCCAGUCUGGAGCUUCAGGGCAGAGAUGAGCUGUAGGGGGACCAGCUGGGUCCCAGUCUGGAGCUUCAGGGCAGAGAUGAGCUGUAGGGAGACCAGCUGGGUCCCAGUCUGGGCAGCAGGGCAGAGAUGAGCUGUAGGGAGACUGGCUGGGUCCCAGUCUGGAGCUUCAGGGCAGAGAUGAGCUGUAGGGAGACCAGCUAUGUCCCAGUCUGGGCAGCAGGGUUGGUCCUUUCUUUGCUCUUAACAAGGUCCUCACUGCCUCUGCAGCCUACCCCUCUGCAGCCCUUGCUCCUGUCUCUCUCUCUGUCCUUUAGGGCUGGGUGCUUCCCCUCUCCUUUCUUGGUUGUUCUCUGUGUACUUGUAUGACCAUCCUCCUCCACGUCUCACUCUGCAACCCCUGCCUCCCCCCUCCCUUGGAAGGCUG
ensembl:lncRNA